CUUAAAAUAUUCAAGUAGUCAUAACAAAACCAAUGACAUGCAUACACCAGUGAGAGGCAGCAGUGCGCUAAUGUGUUGCUAAUGUGCAACAAAACCACAGAAGAAGAAAUUAGGACAGUUAGAGCAUGCGCAACAAGCAAUGUUUUGAAUUUGUGUUGACAUCGGUUGGCUCCAGCUAAUUGGCGAAGAAUUUGCUGAAACUGGGAAAAGAAGCAGAGACUACUUGCAUUUUUACCUCUGGACAAAGACACUAAGGACAAGUGUUUGUGGCAACUGCCUUCUCUGAACAGCGGUCUCAUCAGCACAGGCCUCAGUACAUUGGAGAUUUAAGAGGACACUUCACACCCUACAACCCCUAAAAUAACCCAGAUUUGACAGCACUCCACACCCAUCUCGGGCCUUCCUGUUUCAUUUUGCGAUUACCCCAGAUACUUCUACUACUAACCCACUUUGUAAGUUCUAAAAAAAAAAAAAAAAAAAAUACACCUUAAACAAACACUUAAUUGUGGGAAAAUGUAAUGUGUAUUUGCUCUUAUAUUACUGAGAUACUUCUAUAAGAUUAUUGUUGAUUAUAUACCUUGUUCACCCAAAAAAGAAAACUAUGCCAUUUAAUCUCCCUCAUGUCAUUCCAAAAUGAACAAAAGUCAUGGGUGAGUAAAUGAUAACAAAUUUAAAUUUUUGGUGAACCAGGCAGGACAGAUAACACUG